AGAUAAUUUAAACCAAACAUGACGCCAUGAAAAUUCACAUUUGUUUUUCCUCAAUACUGGGACACAGAGUAGUGUUCUCAGCUCUUAUUUCCCAGUUACAAUAACAUGAAUAGAUAUUGAUGUAACCUAUUAUCUCCGCAAUAACACAUAUUACAACCAGUGGUUAUUUAUUAGCAGUAAAAUGUUUCUCCAGGGCUUAAUUUAGAAUGCCUGAAACGAGAUAACAAAAUCUCAGUCUUGGAAGUGAUCUUCUAUAUAGUGAUUGUUUAGGGAAAUUUUCAUUGCUUCACAGCAGUUAAAGAUCCUUAAUUGGCUAGUUUGUUGAAAUGAAGGCAUAUGGUGCAAUAUCAAGGUCUUGGAAGGCUGAUGUGAGUGAAUGCAUGCAGAACUAGAAGCCAGACUUCUACAUGCAGAUAGAAAUGUUGGGCAUGGAUGAAUUAAUCUACCCAAUUCUACUUUUCCGUGAUCAGGGCACGGUCAAACAUCACGUCUGGAUAGGUGGAGCUUUGGUGGGCUUAUGGUGCAAAAUUUGGCUGAUCCAGUGGGUUAGAGCAGGCUGUCAGAGAGCGUUUCAGCACUGAGCAAGCUGAUUCUCCUUUAGGUUUGACAAGCAACAGAGGAGUCUUAUUCCUGCAAGUUUUUGUGAUAGCAAGGCAAGCUUCAAAAAGGCACCGUCAGGGGGGAGUCCAGGUGUGUGGGAGUAAGAUAAGGAUGCGGAUCUGGAAGUUUUGAGUCACAGGUGUGAACUGACCACAAAGCAAAGGUAAGAAUCCCUUUACCAGAUUCAGGAGUGCCAGGUCAGAGGGUGCUAGAGCAAGGCUGACUUGAUGCUGAGCCCCGAAACCCAUAUACCUAAAGGCUUCCUAUAUCCUUCCUGACUAGGAAUGGAAUUGGUCUUAGAGACGGGCAGAGUCGAGUCUCCAGGUAGUCCACUCAGUGGUCUCAGCCAUGGACAGGAGAGCUUUAAAAGCAGGGAAUUGCUCCAUGACUGCAUCCUUCUUUACUCCAGGGGACUUGUUUCUGUGGACUUCUUUCUCCCUUUCCAAGAUUCUUAAUUUUGGAGAUCAAUCAAGAUCUAAAGGCAAUUCUUGCCUUGAGUACCAGGUUAUUCCUGUGACCCCUAACAAUGGUGCAACAGAGUUGGAGCGGGGGCUAGGCGUUCUCUUCCUGGCAUGGCUGCAGCCGUGCCAGGGUUUUACAGAUGGCCCAGGGCCCUGGGCUUUUCCCUCCUAGCUUCCUUUGAAUCUGCUGACUGAGGACAGAGUAAUGGCUGGAAGUGUCUAUGACUCUACUAAAAUCUUCAUGCUUCCAAAAAACUAAGAUAAAUUUCCUUAAUGGAACUGCUGGCUAGCAGAAAAAGAUUCUAUAGAAUUCUUGCUUGUACUUCUAUCCAAAGCUUUUUUCUCCGAUUCCAGAUUCCAAGCUUUCAGUAGAUUGCUUAAUUAUUUGGAAAGGUGCUGAGCCAGCAGGUGGCCAUGCACAGCCUGGAUCUAACCACGCUACAGCUGAGUGCUGUCUGUGUCCUACGCAGGUCUACAUCUUAGUAGACUGGCCCCUUCAGGACCACUCACACGGCUAAACACAUUCCCUCUUGUUCAGCCUCCUUAGUCCAAAAUACCAGGAUGGUGACUUGAAAAGAAAAGGCAUAGACAAGCUAGGAGAGCCUGGGACCUGGUAAGUAGGCACACGUAACACAGAUAAGCAUGUUCUUGGGGACAGGUGAGUAUGAACUGAGGAGGAUCAGCUGCAAGUGAAGAGAAAUACAGUGAAAGAGCAGAUCUAAUAUUCAGAUUAUGGACCCAAAUAGUAGGCAGUCAAAAGGUGGACAGUGUAGGGGGAGAAGGAUGGUCUUCAGGUUUCACAAACCCUAAGUGGAAUUUAAAUACGUCUAUUGACUAUCCAUUCAUUCAUCCAUCCAAUACCUACCACAACCUACUAUGUGUUCUGAUGCUAUACUGGAGGUGUGCCAAGCCCAAAUUCUGUCAGCAGAGCCAGGAUUUCUAAAUACAAGUCAGAAUAGGAUGAAAUAAGGAAACUGCUAUUUGUUAAACAUAACAUUAGGCACUUUCAAACUGAGUAUUUAAUUUAAUUCUUGAAACAUUCCUGCAGAUAUUAUUACCCUUGAUUCUGAAGAAGGGCAAAAAGAGCACAUUUCAUGGAAGGAGGAUAGAGUAAAACCAGAGUGAAGUUGAUCAUCUGUGAAACCUACACGUAAUAUAACCUCUGAGUCUCUGCUUCCUUAUCUGUAAAAUAGAUCAGAUACCUGUCUUUGAGGAUAGUUGUAAGGAGGAAAUUGCAUUAAAUGGCAAAUACUAAAGUCCCCAGCAUUUAACACCUGGCAACCGUGUAAGUGUGUGUCUUCUACAUUCCCAUCGGAAGUCUUACAGGAGGAGGUGCCCAAGAGACUGGCAGAACAAGGACUGAAGCCUGGCCAGGAUCACACACAAUUAUCCCACCCUGGGAAAAGCAAGCAUGGGUCAUUCUUGCUGCAGGUAACAUGCCUUAGAAAUCCAGAGCUCAGCCACCAAUCCAGGGGGCCUGGAAAACCAAGGCAGGAGAGAAUUGAAAGCAGAUUAGUCAUUAGCAAAAAGCAGGAUCCCAGUCACUGGAACCAAGUUGCAAUGAUAGGGAAGAACUGGUCAGAUGACUGGUCAGAUGGCCCAGCAUUUCAGCAGAACCUGGAGUAUCAGCCCCUGAGAAGAAGGAAGUCAGAAUUCAUUGCUCCCAUAUGCCCAUCUCCAGCAGUUAGGGCACUCGGUUCUUCCUUCUAUGACUCAGCAACUACUCAGCUGUUUGAUCUGCCUCCAGCCUUGUUUCUCAGACCCCAGGGACUGACUGUCUAUGUUUGUGAUGCUGUCUUCUCCCCGCUGAUGUCAGCUAGGUUCACAGUAAGCUCACUCAAUACUGAGUCAUCCAAACUCAAAGGCCCCUAGGACUGCCUGAUGAAUCACCAGACCUCUGGAAGGCUGAGCCUACCAGUGGAAGAAGUGGUCCUAGAUGGGGAAAGAAGUAACUGGAGAUACAGAGUACCAGGCACUUCCUUCAGGGAUCCCCUAACCACUGCAGAACAUGGUGUUUCCUGAGACACAGCACCCUCCCCUCCAAAAUGAACUACCUGCACUUGAAUCCUUGUGUCCAGGGGUGCCAGCUAGCUUCCCUUCGGUUAAUAUACUUGUUCCCUUUUCUCUGUCUUCUGUUGGAUUGAUAACGUUUUUGAUCUUCCUGUUUCUCCCUUCUGCUUGUUCAGAAGCUAUAGAUUCUGGGGCACCUGAGUGGCUCAGUUGGUUAAGUGUCCGACUUCGGCUCAGGUCAUGAUCUCACGGUUCGUUAGUUCGAGCCCUGUGUCAGGAUCUGUGCUGACAGCUU